AUGCUCUCACGUCUCUAUUAUCCUCUCCCUAGAUUCAGAUGUGCAUUCCAAAUCAGCAAGCAAAACUAUGACGAGGAGGUUUUGCUGGAAGUUGUUGAGUACUACUUGGAGGUUGAGCCGAAUAAAAUUUGGAGCUUCAAUCGUACUUUUGGUGAAGGUUUUAGAACCUGUAAGGCUGCUGCACAUGGUUCUUUGUUCCAGAGUUUUCGGUCCCCUUCGAGGAUGAAGGUUACAGACGGAGGUGAGAGGUUCUCGGGACCAAACUGUUUUAAUGAUGGCACAGUCUAG